rnacentral:rRNA from 1 species
AGAAUCAACGCUGGCGGCGUGCCUAACACAUGCAAGUCGAACGAGAAAGUGGAGCAAUCCACAAGUAAAGUGGCGCACGGGUGAGUAACACGUGACUAACCUACCCUUGAGUGGGGGAUAACCUAGGGAAACCUGGGCUAAUACCGCAUAAUACCUACGGUCAAAGGAGCAAUUCGCUUAUGGAGGGGGUCGCGGCCGAUUAGUUAGUUGGCGGGGUAAUGGCCCACCAAGACGAUGAUCGGUAUCCGGCCUGAGAGGGCGCACGGACACACUGGAACUGAAACACGGUCCAGACUCCUACGGGAGGCAGCAGUGGGGAAUUUUGCGCAAUGGGGGAAACCCUGACGCAGCAACGCCGCGUGGAGGAUGAAGUCCCUUGGGACGUAAACUCCUUUCGAUCGGGACGAUAAUGACGGUACCGGAAGAAGAGCCCCGGCUAACUUCGCGCCAGCAGCCGC